UUGAAGAAUUUGAAGACUUCAACUUGCAGACUUGAGAAUUAGAAAACAUCAACUUGCAGACUUGAAGAAUUUAGAGACUUCAACU
rnacentral:pre_miRNA from 1 species